UAUUACGAGUGUAAAAAUAAAUGGUGUAGUUUUGCAUCAGAAUUUGGCUUUGAAGCUUUUGUAGAGACCAGAACAUGCUGUUUGAAAUGGUCACAGCACAGUGGAAAAAGCAGAUUUCCUGCAGGAUCUGGUGCCUCUCCCAGAGCAGAUGCCACCUUCUUUUUGCUCCAUUUCACUUAAGGCAGACAAGGUACAGAGAGUUUCCUGGAGACUGAAUUGAAAAUGAGAAGAUAUUUUCAUUUUAAUAACAAAAGAACGAGAAGAAAUCAAACUAUUAAACCUUCUUCUGAAAAAAUAUUUUGGGGAUGAACCACUUGGAAUUUAAUCUGGCAAGGUUUUUAAAUAUGCCAGAUUUUGCCCAAACUAAUGCCCGUGACACAAAAUUCCCUGUAAAGAGGAAUCUCCCUGUAAAGAGGAUGCUCACAAUUUAAGAGGUGGAACGAAACAGGAAG